CCUACGGGCGGCAGCAGUGGGGAAUAUUGGGCAAUGGGCGAAAGCCUUACCCAGCAACGCCGCGUGAGGGAAGAAGGUUUUCGGAUUGUAAACCUCUGUCCUGGGGGACGAAGGAAGUGACGGUACCCCGGGAGGAAGCCCCGGCUAACUACGUGCCAGCAGCCGCGGUAAUACGUAGGGGGCGAGCGUUGUCCGGAAUUAUUGGGCGUAAAGGGCGCGUAGACGGCUGUGUAAGUUAUAGGUGAAAGCCCAACUUUCAAGGUUGGAACUGCCUGUAAUACUGCAUGGCUUGAGUGCAGGAGAGGGAAGCGGAAUUCCUAGUGUAGCGGUGAAAUGCGUAGAUAUUAGGAGGAACACCAGUGGCGAAGGCGGCUUUCUGGACUGUAACUGACGUUGAGGCGCGAAAGCGUGGGGAGCAAACAGG
rnacentral:rRNA from 1 species